rnacentral:lncRNA from 10 species
AAUGAUUUGCCUAAAGUCACACAGCUCGUAAGGGCCAGAGCCCACACUUUCAUCCACUAGCCUAUAUUCUGUGCUGUCAUCACUGAUAGCAGUGACUGAGACUGAGAGACAAAGUCACUUAAGAGCUGAUGGCUGCUCUCCCGCUCAGCUACAGGCCUGUGUCACCACUCCCCACAGGGACCCCCCAGCUCCAGUUACCUUGUAGGGUACUUCUCCAAGCCUCACCACUCUUGCUUUCUUCAGCCACGUGUCCCUGGAAUGCAGAGUGUGCACACAAUCCCUGUGGAACCAACACAGGACACAAAGGUUUUCUUCUCCUCUGCUGUCCAGAGCCUGUGAGAGCUCCAGCUGCAGACUAUCAGGAUGGGGUAAAGGCCGCUGUGCGCAGGCACACUCACGUUUACUACCACCACCAAGCGAACACCUGC